GCCCUCGCUGGGUGGGUCACUGGAUGCCGUCCUCUGGGAAUUUUGCUGAACAAUCUUCAGAUCUUGCUCAUGUCACCUUCCCUGAGGGAACUUCCCUGAUCUUCCAAGCCUGAAAUAGAGGCUUUUUCUUCAGGCAAAUGCGGUGUCUGCGUUUUCUGCCUCAGAGCAGGCGCUGAGCUCCUCAGAAGCAGGAGGGGUGGCAGGUUUACUCUGUCUCCCCAGAGCCUGGCCGCGGGACGUGCCCCAUCACGGUCGGUGAAGGAGUUGAUGCCCUGGGCUGCUGAGGGACCAGUGCGCCAUGAUGCUGGAGGCGGAGUCUGGGGGUUUCCUGACAGAGAUGCAAGCCCUGGAGAGGGAGAGCAUGUUUCUACAGGUUCACUCUCCACCCUGCUGUCUUCCCCAGGGGCUGAGCCCCACAGACCCCAUUCCUGGGCUCCAUGUCACCUGGCUUCCUGUUGGAUCUGGUCAUGGUGAGCCCUGGCUACAGGUACUGCCUGGGAGUGAAGUGAUGGAGAGACAUGGAAGGGUGAACGUUUGAUGUUUGAAGAAAUGGCCAUUUUACGUUGUGCCAGCAGGGCACGAGAGUUCCAGGUUCUACACAAUCCUCUCACAACCCUUGCCAACACAUGGCAUUCUGAAUCUUUCCAAUUUUAGACGUCCUAUGAGGCGCAGCACCAUAUCGUGUUGUAGUCUGAACUUCCGUUUCCCAGCGACCAGUGAUACAGAGCAUCAUUUCAGGUGCUUGUUUGUCAUCCUUGUAUCUUCCUUAAUGACGUGUCUGUUCAAAUCUUUCGCCCGUUUUUAUUGGGCUGUUUAUGUUCUUAUUAUUGGCUUUGUAUGUUCUGAAUGCAAGUAGAUUUGUAUAUUCUGGGUGCCAGUCUUUUAUCAGAUACGUGAUUUGCACAUAUUUCCUCCCAGUCUGGACUUGAAUUUUCAUUCUCUCAACAGCGUAUUUCAAAGAGCAGAGGUUUUUCAUUUUGAUGAAACCCAAGUGAUCAAUUUUUUUUUUAAUGGAGCAUGCUUUGGGAGUUGUAUCUCAAAAAUCUUGGCCUAACCCAAAGCCACAAAGAUUUUCUCCUUUGUUUCUUCUAGAAGUUUUAUACUUUUAAGUUUUGCUUUUAGAUUUGCGAUCCAUUUGGAGUUCCUUGUUACAUAUGGUGUAAUGUGUCGA